UGUAACAUCAUCUAGCAUGACCGGUUUGGCGGUGGGUCAGUGAUGGUCACGCAGGUAAAAUUCACCAUGGCGUCUCUAGACUCUUUUACGUCUGUCACAUGCUCAGUGUGAACCUACUCUCAUCUGUCACGAGAACGAGGCACCAAUGGCAGACAUGCCAAUUGUGGCAAACUCUGGCAAAUGCCAAUCAAGCUGCAUGGUGCUGAACUGUGACCACAGGUCCCACUAGAUGAUGUCGGGCUGUCAUGCAACCCUCAUGGAGUCUGUUUCUGACAGUUUGGUCAGAAACAUGCACACCAGUAGCCUGCAGGAGGUCAUUUUGUAGGGCUCUGGGAGUGCUCCUUCUGUUUCUCCUCGCACAAAGAACUGAAGGUCUGGCUGCUGGGUUGAUGCCCUGUCCAGCUCUCCUUGUGUAACAGCCGUCUCCUGGUAUCUCUUCCGUGUUCUUGAGACUGGACCGGGAGACAUAGCAACCCUUCUUGCUACAGCACCUAUGGAUGUGCCAUCCUGGAGGAGCUGGACUACCUGUGCAACCUGAAUGGUCUGCAGGUACACUGCAAAACAUAUGUGGCUUAUCAAGUGUAUGUAUUUUAUCUUCAGGUUAAAAAUCCCUAAAAUAAGGAAUAUUUUUCUUAACAAGCUAGAUUAUAUUGCUUGUUUUUAGAAUGUAUGCCUUGAAUAUCGUGUAAUUUGUCUUGUUCCAUUGGCAGAUUAUUUCAAGCAAAUAUCUUCUCAAAUUUAGUUAAAUUGUCAUUUAAGAUACUAGCAAAAUGCAAAACUAGAGAAGAAUCAGUCAGUCAGGAUAAGGAGAGAGCAAUUGUAUGUGGCCAUCACCCGCAAAACUCUUCCCUUUUUGGGGGUUUUCUUGUUGUUGCCUUUCCAGUGCACCUGUUGUCACUUUCAUUUGUAUCAAACAGGUGACAUUGUUUCACAAUAGCUUAUGCUUCCUGUUGUACUUUCGUUAAGAUUUAGAAAUAUUCAAGGAGGCUCUGGGUGUACGCAGACUAACUUAUACCAUGAAGUUUUAUUAACAACUUUCAGAUACGUUACAUCAGUGCUCACUCUUCAGCGGCAGCAUACACACUGAACCUUCUAGAGCAUAAACAUUGCUAACAAAUUCUAUAGCCAAUAAGAACAAACACUGCAAUAUUUCUGGAAUGUGAUUGGUUCUUAGCAGAACGUAAGAAUACUACAUCCCCCUUCUUUUGAAAUAAAACAAUGCAAGGAAAAUAUUGCAAAAACCCCAUUACAUGAAAUAAACAUAUAGCUUUCAAGAGUCACAUGCACAAACUAAAUCACAUGUAUUAUUAUAGCAAAGUACUGGUAUACUGUAGGUGUUCAUAUAUUAUUGGAUUGUCACAUGACAAAACACAAACUGCAUUGAACAUUUCUUUUUUCUAAGGGCAGCGAUCCGCCUACACCCUUGUACAAUCACAGAUCCAGAAUAACGCUGGGUUUAAUCUGGCGUCCGUACCUGGAUCCGCAAAUGACGGAUUUGGGCAGAUCAUCAGUGUGGUCAGGUGUGUGUGUAAUGUCACUGUGUGGUGCACUGUUGAUUGGUGUUUCCCAUAGCUCAGCACCAUCAUGACCUAAAGAGAUGUCAGAACUGCCCUGAGGUUCCUUUGUGUCCAGGAGGUGGCGUCUGUUUCGCCGAUAUUCCCGUCCAUCAGAGGAGCUGCUGAUUGGUGUUUGGUAGGGUUGACCGCAGACGGCGACUCAUCAACAGCUGAGCUGGGGACUUGAAACCAUCAACAGGGCUAUUGCGAUACUCCAGGAGACUGAGGAUCUGGCAAACGUCGCAAACUCACCCGAGCUGUACUGGGGGCCGUUGUCUGAGAUGACAGCCUCUGGAAUGCCAUGUCGGGCAAAAGCGGCUUUUAGUUUAUCUAUCACAGCAGUUGAGGUGGUGCUGCUGAGCUUGUCCAGCUCAAAAUAUCUGCUGUAGUAGUCUACUGUCACAAGAUAAUCCUCAUUGCUUCAGGCCAGAACAUGAUGUCACGGGCUCUCUGCUUGGUUUUCUCUAUGCCUAAGUGACUGGCAUGUACGCGUGACAGCAUGUCUGAACGAAGACUUGUGGGAACAACAACUUUUUCACCUUUGAAGAUGAUUCCAUGCAGGUCACAUUUGCCUUUUACCGCCAGGCGUUCACCACCAUAGCCAAACAAUGGGCGAGAUGUCGGCUGCAGAUUGUUCAGCUUGUCAUACUCGUACAGGGGAAUGACGUUGGCAGAUGAUCCAGUGUCUCGCUUAAACUUAACUUCAAGUUGUCUUGGACCCAUUUUAAUAUACACAAAAGCUUGCUCUGUGUCUGAACUCUGUCUGCCCUGUGUCACUGAAUCAAUAAACAGCUCUUCAUCAUACUCA